AAUUAGCUAGAGAGUAGGAUAUCUUAGUAUAAAACCGACUAAAGAUAUAUUUAGGGAAUCAUAAAAUUUACUAUGUGUUGAAUGCUUGCUUCUAAGUAAGAAUCCUAAUUAGUAGAUGGGGAUACCCACCUGUGUGCCAAACGCCGCGGGUUUUAUCUCAUAGAGUCGACUCUUUGGUUUUUUU
rnacentral:other from 1 species